GCAUUGGUGGUUUAGUGGUAAAAUUAGCCGUUGCCAUUUGUCUUCACAGACGUCCAGCGUCGGCUAGCCCCGAGUUCGAUUCUCGGUCAAUGCA
rnacentral:tRNA from 1 species